rnacentral:lncRNA from 1 species
GGAAACCUUUUCUUAAUCCGUGCCAUAAUUUUAUAAACUUUGGUGGUAUCUCCUCUUCCUUGCCUUUUCUCUCAAGUAAAAUGUCCCAAGCACUGCAAACUGGGGCAACCCAGUCAAUUGGGUGGGAUACAAAUAAUGAAAUUAUUAUUAUUUAUUAAAAUUCCUUCAUAGCAGAGUCACUGUGUGUGUGUGUGUGUGUGUGUGAGAGAGAGAGAGAGAGAGAGAGAGAGAGAGAGAUAUGGGGGAUGAGGGAACACCGGAGAUCUUUUCCUCUCAGGGCCUUCAAAAACCUGAAGCCUGGCCUGUAUAUUUUCCUAACGUGCAUUGGUGGAAGAAUUGUAUCCCCUUGUGACAUUAACGAAAGUUAGCCUUCCUUCCUCCUUUUAACACAUGAGAGCCAAGGGUAUGACCAGUGACCCAGGAACAUGUCCCCGAGGCCCAUCGGUAGUCAGAACAGCAACUUCCUCUUUGUUUAAAACAACAGAAGAAGAAGCUCAGAAGUUGUUUCUGGGUACCAAGAAGAGACUUUGCGGCCGACAUCCAAAUUGUGGCAAAGGUUUUGUAACUGGCUGGUAACUGCUGUUGUAUUAUUUUGUAGAUCUUAAUUGAACGAAGAAGAAAUAACAGCCUUUUGCUAUUGGAUGCGUCUAAAAGGAACAGCUUGCCUCCUUUCCUUUAACCUAGUUGGGUGUUUGCAUCCAAUUAUGUUUUGCAAUACUUUCUUCUUGAUGAAAUCCAGAUAGCCUGUUGGGAAAGAGUCUGGGAAUAUAUUGGCAGGGGCAGGGGGAGCUAAGGUCAAGAUGACAACAGAGGAGACACUGAGCUCCUGUGGAGGGCAGCCAACUGCUGGGGUGCCACCACUAAAAGGCCCUUUACCCAGUCCAACAUCAACACGUCAUCCAGAUAGCAGGUAUGUUACCUGUAUGUUACCUGUGGCUUUACUUCUGGCUUCCUUUCCAUUUAUUCUUCCCUGACCUUAUCUUUACCAUAAGGUCCCCGUGGGGGUUGCAGCAAUAAGAUAUAUGCAGGUAUGUAUCUUAUACAUAGCUGUCAACUGUCCCUUAUUUGGCGGGAAACUCCCUUAUCCCAGCGCUGUGUCCCGCUGCUGCCCCUUAUUGAUGAUGUCCCUUAAAUUUCCAGAGUUUCAUGCUUGCCCAGCUUGGGAGGGAAGCAGUGGCUCAGGGUCCUCCACCGCGAGAGAGAGAGAGUGUGCAUGAGCUGCCACGUCUCCGUCUCCCCUUUUCCCCCUCAGUGGUGCAUCCUGAGGAGACGGGUGGCGGCGGGCGGGCAGGCAGCCCCUCUCUUGCAAGACUUCCACUGCGCUGCCAGGGGAAGCCGGAGGCGGCAGCGGCAGCUGAGGAGGCAGCCUGAGGGAGGAGGAAGAGGAGGGGAUGGUGUUAAGUUGUGGGUGAACAUAUCAGACGACACAGCGAUUCUUCAAACAGCUCUUGUUUAUUCACAGGCCAGAACAGAACUGAACUGAAGGGUUCAGCCAGCCUGCUUAUAUAGAGCACCAGUACAAGGUAACUGUAACAACUUUCUGUAACUAUCCAAUCACUGAACGUCACUUUCGAUCCCUUAUUUGCAUAUGUGGACCUGAGUAAAAACUAUCUACAGUAUCCCCCUGCUGGCCCAGGGUGAGAACUUCAGUACAUAACACCCCUCCCCACCGAGAUAAGGCGGGGAAGGGCCGAUGGAACUCCUCACGCCAAGACGAUGGCAGCCCCGACGUGCUGCUUAGCAUCCCCUCCAACCAGUGCAGCAUCUUAAUGUGGUGAUUUCCCCCUCUGCAUCCCUUUCAUAACUCUUAUUUUUAUAAAUCAUUUGUCCAUCCAUAGUUCAAAUUUUUACUACAAAUUUUCUAUCAAUCCUACCAAUGUAUGUAACUCUUUACAAUAGCUUUUCAACUAAAUUAUAAACUUUCCCCAUUCUUUAUUAAAGAGGUCCUCUUCCUGGUUUCUAAUUCUGCCUGUAAGCUUUGCCAUUUUGACGUCGUUCAUCAGUUUUUGUCUGCCGCUCUUCUUUGGUCGGAGUUGUAGACCCUUAGGAUCAUCUAGUCCAACCUCCUGCAUAACACAGUCAGUGGCAGCAAAAGCAGCCUGGCUCCACCAGUGCUGGAUUUCUGUAUAAGCUAAGCAAAAUCCCUUAUUUUGCCUGCUGAUCCCUUAUUUUCGAGGCUGCUGGUCCCUUAUUUUCAAAUCUGUAAGUUGACAGCUAUGAUCUUAUAUGCCACUGGUAUCUCACCCCAGUAAGAUUAAGUUGCAUGAAAGUUUGUCUCCUUAUACUCACAGAUAGUAAGCUCAGUUGGACUAGAUGAUCCUCAGGGUCCCUUCCAAGUCUCUGAUUUUUCAAGAGAAGCAAUACUACUGCUCUAUUCUGCCUUGGUCAGACCCCACCUGCAGUACUGUAUGUAUGUAGUUCUGGGCAUCACAGUUUAAAGAGCUGGUCAAAGAACAGGGGAAAUGGUUUGGAGAGUCCCUUAUUCAACUCCUUUCCCACCUCAUAGGUCACGUUGAAUUCCAGCUAAACCCCCUUUUUAAAGGGAGGCAUCCUCAUAUCACAAAAACCAAGAAAGGAGGAUUUACCAUGGCCGAGCGACUGCCUGGCUGCAGCGCAUUCUCCCAGAAGUGUGUUAAGCCAGGAUUUCCUCACUUUUUUCAAAUAUUAAUUCCUCAUCUCAUUAGGAGACUUGGGGAAUACACUCUAAUCUUGUUCUCUUUGAGUUGUACGAGAUUAUGCAGAUCAGUACCUUACAAAAAUGGAGGGGGGGUUUGGAAGAGAACAAAUAAUCUCUUAAGUGUUUGGUUGUUGUUUUUUUAAGUAAAAAGAUAUCUGGGGGUGGAGGACAUAUUGGCAAUACGUUAGAAUUAGGGCCAGACUGGAAGACACUGGAAACUGAACUUCCUGACUCUUGGUAGCCCCUGAAAACCGGAAGUCGGUUCCCCAAAGUGUUUGAAUAGAUUCCAUGGUGAAUCAUCUUUCGGUGGUUGCAGUCAACAACCUCCCUGUUCCUCUCUCCCUAAAUAACCUUGGAACAAAGACACUCAGCUCCGAGUGGUCGCCAAAGAAGAAGAAAGAUAGCUGAGUGGGCAUUCGAACCCCAGUCUCCCUGUUUCUAGUCCAACACACUAACCACUACACCAUGCUGCCUCCCUAGCGUUAGCCCUUUUCCAGCUAUGUCAGAAUUGCAAUUCAGUAGCUCAACAAACAGAAAGGCAAAUAAUGAUUUCCAAUGAGAGUUUUUAUUUUUGUGAAUUUUUCGCCUCCGACCCCCACUCCAUUAUAUGUUUCUUUUAUUCUUACAAGGAUGAUUCUUAUCUAUUCCCCCCACCCAGCCACAUUGUUCGUAUUGCAGUUGGUUUUGGAAACCAAUUUUGAAAGCAAUACAUAUAUCCAUUCUGAAAUGGAUAAAUAAAUUGCGCUCUGAGCUGCAGGGUCUUUGAAGCAGCCUGACAGCAGUUAUCACCUGGCCACAGCCUUCCUUUCUUCUUGCAUAGAGUGAAAAAGAUAGAUGAAUAGAAAUAGCAUCUAGCUAUCGAUCUAAGUUUGGGUAGUUAUUUUUAAAUUCACACCUAUACACCUAUAUUAAAUGUGCAUAUCUAUGCCCUUUUUUGUGGUGAUGGACACACCUUUCCUCGUGUGUGUGCAAUGUGCAAAUGGCUGCCACACCUCUUGGUGCAGCAGGUUUGGGGAACAGGUGGUGAGCUUGCAGCAGGGGAUGGUAGUAGAAAACACCCGGCCCCCAACAUGAUCUUGGUAGAAAUUUCUUUUAAUUGGGCCAUUUAAAAAUCAGCUGGGGUGUCAUGAUCUGGUUCAUGGGCGAUCGAAGUCCUGACUGGGGACGUUGGGACCGGGAGCAAGAUGGCAGGGUGGGAGCAGGAACGGGAGUUCAGAAGCCAGGAGUCAGGAAGCCAAGAGUCCGAGGAUCAGAGAGCCGGGAGUCAAGAAGCCAAGGGUCAGGAAGCAAGGGUCUGAGGAUUAAGAAGCAAGGAGUCCAAACGCAGCAAGGCUGGGAACGUGUUGCUGUGGCAAAGGGAAAAUGCUGAGCUUAUAUCCCUUUCCAGCUCUUGCCACCAGGUGCUGUGAGUUACCAAUCGGCCUCACCUGUGUGGCCGCGUCUUGCCUCUUCGGAAUAAACUUAGGAAGGCCCCAGUCCUGCAAAUUCCUAUUGGUCACAGGGCCUGGCUCCUGCACGCACACCUGACAUGGGGUGGAGCAGUUCAAACAUGCCCCUUUGUGUGUGAGUGCGUGUGUGUUUUCCAUUUGGCCUCUCCACACCCACCCAUGUCUGCCUUUUUGCCGCCUCACACUUGACCCUUUCUCUCAUCUCCAGCCCGUUCCAUGAAACACAAACUGUUACCACGACAGGAACCAAAGUCUUUUACAUUUUAUGUCUUUGGAGCUUUGUUUUAUUCCCUUGCUGUUUAGUCGUUUAGUCGUGUCCGAAUCUUCGUGACCCCAUGGACCAGAGCACGCCAGGCACUCCUGUCUUCCACUGCCUCCCGCAGUUUGGUCAGACUCAUGUUUGUAGCUUCGAGAACACUGUCCAACCAUCUCGUCCUCUGUCGUCCCCUUCUCCUUGUGCCCUCCAUCUUUCCCAACAUCAGGGUCUUUUCCAGGGAGUCUUCUCUUCUCAUGAGGUGGCCAAAGUAUUGGAGUCUCAGCUUCACGAUCUGUCCUUCCAGUGAGCCCUCAGGGCUGAUUUCCUUAAGAAUGUAUACGUUUGAUCUUCUUGCAGUCCAUGGGACUCUCAAGAGUCUCCUCCAGCACCAUAACUCAAAAGCAUCAAUUCUUUGGCGAUCAGCCUUCUUUAUGGUCCAGCUCUCACUUCCAUACAUCACUACUGGAAAGACCAUGGCUUUAACUAUAUGGACCUUUGUUGGUAAGGUGAUGUCUCUGCUUUUUAAGAUGCUGGUUUUAUUCCCUAAGCAUCUCUUAUUCCUCCUCAGGAAAUCCUUUGGAAAACACUGUCCAGUGUGGAAUAAGAACAGUCAAACCAACAUGCGUCUUCAUCUCAGAUUUCUGUGGUGUGUUUUUGGAGAAUGGCAGAGCAGGAAAAGUGACAUUUNNNNNNNNNNNNNNNNNNNNNNNNNNNNNNNNNNNNNNNNNNNNNNNNNNNNNNNNNNNNNNNNNNNNNNNNNNNNNNNNNNNNNNNNNNNNNNNNNNNNGUUUUCAGCACCAAAUAUUUUCAGGCCAAUGUCAGAAUAACAUUUUAGAAAACUGAGCCGAUACAUGAACCGUGUGUUUGGAAUACCCUCCCUCUUUUUCUCAAAUCACUGCCAAACUUCUUUUAUAGCAAUGAUUAUGUCACCGUGACCUUGGAGAUUGUUUCAACACUACUGAUGGCUAGCAGUUAAGAGUCUGCUGGCCCAUCUAGUUUUGCAACCUGUCCUCACAUUCGCCAACCAGAUUCCUGUAGGAAACCCGCAAACCAGAUUCAAGCAAAUUAUCCUUCUACCUUCCUAUGGUUUCCAGCAAGUGGUGUUCAGAAGCAUUGCUUCCCACAACUUUGGAGGCAGCGCAUGUCACAGUCCGGUUUGCAGGCAAUCGAAGUCCCGGCUGGGGAUGUCGGGACCGGGGGCAAGAUGGCGGGGUGGGAGCAGGAACGGGAGUCCAGAAGCCAGGAGUCAGAAAGCCAGAGUCCGAAGGUCAGAGAGUCGGGAGUCAAGAAGCCAAGGGUCUGAGGAUCAAGAAGCAAGGAGUCACGAAGUCGGGGGUCCGAGGAUCAAGAAGCAAGGAGUCACAAAGUCAGGCGUCCGAGGAUCAAGAAGCAAGGAGUCACGAAGUCAGGGGUUCGAGGACCAAGAAGGAAGGAGUCACGAUGUCAGGGGUCCGAGGGUCAGGAAGCAAGGAGUCACGAAGUCAGGGGUCCGAGGAUCAAGAAGCAGGGGGUCACGAAGUCAGGUUCUGAGGAUCAAGAAGCAAGGAGUCACGAAGUCAGGGGUCCAAGGAUCAAGAAGCAAGGAGUCCAAGGCAGGGAACGUGUUGCUGUGGCAAAGAGCCGAAGGGAAAAUGCUGAGCUUGUAUCCCUUCCUGGCUCUUGCCACCAGGUGCUGUGAGUUACCAAUCAGCCUGCUGUGUGGCCGCCCCUUGCCUCUUCAGAACAAACUUAUGAAGGCCCCAGUCCUGCAAAGUCCUGCUGGUCACAGGGCCUGGCUCCUGCAUGCACACCUGACAGAGCAUAGCCAUCCUGCCUAGUAGUCAUCGAUAGCUCCCUCCUCCGUGAAUUUGUCUAACCCUAAGCCAUCCAUGCCGGUGGACAUCACUGCCUCCUGCGCAUAGCUGUCACCUUUUCCCUUUUCUUGUGAGGAAUCCUAUUCGGAAUAAGGGAAUUUCCCUUUAAAAAAGGGGAACGUUGACAGCUAUGCUCCUGCGGGAGCGAGUUCAAGAGUUUUAACUGCGCGCUGCGUGAAUAAGCACUUUCUUUUCUCUGUUCUGAUAAAUGAUAAUAAUUAAUGGGAGAAGCACACAGAAGAAAUGCUAUGGUGAAUCUGUAACAGCAAAAUCGGACGCCUUCACCUGCCACGGCUAUGACUGAUGGGAGUUGUAGUUGAAAACAUCUGGAAGGCACCCCAUCAAACUGCUAAGAGAAUAAAAACACGCCAUAUUUUAAAGCUAACCGUUACCACUUUAACCUCUUAGUCUUCUGGGCACAUCCAUUUUUUUUGAAGAAAUCGUCCCCGGUGUUGUAGGUUGGCCGUUUUUGUUUUAAACGCACAUGUGAUUUCUGCUGCCUGUUCAAGAUUCCAAAGACCAUCAAGGUUUUCAGAAGGCUGUAAUUACUCCCCAGCACAAUAGAUGGCAAUUGCUUCCAUCAAGGAAAUAUUACAUAAUUAUUAUAACUUAGGAUAAUAAUUGUAUUUGCUUUUCGGCAAGUCAUGCAUAAUAGAACGCGGCGGGUGCCUUAAAGCUGUUAGCCUAUUGUGUCAGCUCAUACAUAUUAAUUAUUUUAUUAGAGAAUCACAUGGCAAGCUUGAAUCUGGAACAACACACAUUAAAUCUGUUUUGGGGGGCUGAAAAACCGGGGGGGGGGGGAGUGUGUCUUUUCUCAGGGUGUGGAGAUGGAGAAGGAACAUGAGUGUGUGUGUUCACCCAUGAUCACAUUUAAGGUGAUUAAAUAGGCCUGCCAGGCCGCCUGAGGCUCAGAGUCUGGAAUUCGGGGUGCCGGUUGGAGUAAAGGGUGAGCUCUGGUGUAGGACUGCAAUACAUCUGGAAUAUGGCAGACAAAAACAGGGUCUGGAUGGUAAUUGCUGAAAUGUCUGGGGAAAUCUGGAUGUAUGGCAACCCAUGUCGGAAGGCUAGAUUUUGGCAAAUUUCCUUUAAAAUUUCCUUUACAACUUCAAAAAUAAAAUGCCUCCCACGAAAGCUCAACAACUCUGAAUUUUCACCUUCUGAAAUAUGGCAGCCCUAUGCUGGCGGCUGAUCUCUCUUUUCCCACUGUUUUCUCAAAAUAGUUCUAUCACAACCUGCAUUAGAAGCCGGUGCAGGACAUGUGCCUAUGAUGGUACAUUGACACCCAUGUGAGCCCCCAGCACACAGCGUGCGCUCUCUGUGUGCUAAGGGUUUAAAAAAUGCAUUUUGGAAACCACUGGUGAGUGUUUGUUUAAAAAUAAAAACCAAGCAGAGUGUGAAUUUUAUGAAAUGAAUCAACAAUUUUUCCAGCAACUGGAAAUUGAAAUUUAGAAUGCUUUGAAGCAACUGACUCCUUUGGAAAUGAAGGAUUGUCCAGACCCAUGGAAAUAUUAUUCAAUUUUUUACUGGCAGAACUUUCUUUAAAACAGAAAGAAAACAAUGUUUUAUUCGAUGCGAGACUUCAGUAUUGUACACAAUAUAAGGUUAGGGGAGAAGAUAGGUGGGGUUAUAAUCUGAACCUGGAGACAAUGCAUGUACUUCUGUAAUCCAAUAAAACCUUUAAUAAAAACUAUUUUUUUAAAAAAAGAAUUAAAACAUCAAAAAUAUCCAUACAAUAUCUUGUGUUCAGCAUCUUGCAAAACAUGAAAUAAUCCAAACAAACAUCUCUCUCUCCAACCUGCUUUCCAAUCUCCAGGCUAUGCAGCUCUUGGGGAGGCACGAUGAGAUGCGUUGUUCUCCGCGGCGUUCAGAGAAAGACUUAACAGCCACCACCCUUUCAAGAUGGCGAAUUUGCAACUCAAUACCUUCAUCACAUGAUCAAAGGUUCACUCUCAGUGCAGAGAAGCAAUCAACAGGUAAAUUAUUAACUGGUUACAGCUUGGAGUCCUUUAUAAAACAACACUGGGGAAACCCCAAGGUUAGCUCCAUACACUUAGCCAUUUUCCAUUUUAAACCUUCUUUAAUACAUUUGCAUUUUUCAUUUCUGUGUUAAUCAAACAAUAUAUUUAACCCUUGCUAGACUUGGACCCUUGACUUCGUGACUUCUUGCUUCCUGACCCUUGGCUUCUUGACUCCUGGCUCUCUGACCCUCGGACUCUUGGCUUCCUGACUCCUGGCUUCUGGACUCCCGUUCCUGCUCCCACCCCGCCAGUUUGGUCUGGAUUGUGUCCCCUUUCCAGUUUCUAGCGAUUAACGUUCUUGCAGCUACCGUGGCGUACAAGAAUAUUUUCCUCACCUUUUUAGGGAUGUCUGAACCUAGUAUACCCAAAAGGAAAGCUUCCAGCUUUUUUAUAAAAUAGAUCUUAAACAUGUUUUUGAGCUCGUUAGAAAUUACCUCCCAAAAUUCCUUUAUUUUCUUACAGUUCCACCACAUAUGUAGCAUUGUACCUUCCGCUUCCCCACAUCUCCAACAUUUAACAUUUACUUGAGGCAUUCUUAUACAUUUUAGAUAGUUUAAUGGUGUUAAAUACCAGCGGAAUUGCAUUUUCAUAAAAUUUUCUUUCAAUACAUAACACACGGUGAACUUCAUAUCUACCUUCCAUAGUCUUUCCCAAGCAUCCAUUGGGAUGUUAUAACCAAGAUCUUGAGCCCAUUUAACUAUUACCGGUUUUAAGAAGAAGAAGAAGAAGAGUUUGGAUUUGAUAUCCCGCCUUUCACUCCCUUUAAGGAGUCUCAAAGCGGCUAACAUUCUCCUUUCCCUUCCUCCCCCACAACAAACACUCUGUGAGGUGAGUGGGGCUGAGAGACUUCACAGAAGUGUGACUGACCCAAGGUCACCCAGCAGCUGCAUGUGGAGGAGUGGAGACGCGAACCCGGUUCCCCAGAUUACGAGACUACCGCUCUUAACCACUACACCACACUGGCUCUCCUUCCCAGUCAAGGAGGAGUCGAUACAUUUUAGAAAGAGUUUUUCCUUUGGAGUUAAUCAAUUCUUUUUCAAAUCUGGAAGGCUCCAUCGCAAAACCAUUUCGUUUAUCAAGUUUAAAUAUCUCAUAGAGUUGAUGAUAUUGUAACCAAUCUGGUCAGAUUGACCACAUGCCCUUAAAAAAGGCUCCUGUUGCUGGGUAGAUUUUUCUGUUGCUUAGCAACCUGUACAAGACCAAUUCUCAAGUUCUUUCUAGAAUAUUCCUACUGGAGGUAAUAUGGCUUGUAAUGACAAAUCAUCAUUAAUAGCUUUAUCCUUCAUGAAUUCGUCUAACCUCCUUUUGAAACUGCCCAAGAUGGCGACAGCCAGCAUAUCUUGUGGUAGCAAAUUCUACAAUGUGAAUAAGCUAUUUCUUUUGUCUGCCCUGAAGCCCGCACUCUUCAAGCUUCAUUGGAUGACCCGGGUCCUAGCGUUACGAGAGAGAACUUGUGUUUCUGGCAUUUCCUCGACAACCUGUGGGAAAACAAAGCCGACAUGAACUAAAUUCACCCAAGUAUUCUCAAGAUGUUGGUUUUAAUGGGGACGUUUGCCAAUGGAAACAUAUCAUCCAGUUGAAUUAAGCGAGCCAGUUGAGCUCAAAUUCUUUCACGGCUGAUAAUGCUACACGGCCAAGCUAAAGGCAAUGCCGUGCAUUUCAUACGUAGCCAGGAGAAACAGGGUUGGCUGAAAAGAAAGAAAUCAGUUUGAAAUACAGUACCCUUACUAAUGCAACAUGGCUGGAGAUUCAAUCAGAGACUGGAAUUUCCAUCUUGGUUAACGGUCCCAGAGCACUCUUCAGAAGGGGGGCUGGGAUAUAUAUAUAUAUAUAUAUAUAUAUAUAUAUAUAUGAAAAUUCUAAAUCAAUUUGUGACUGGAUCCUGGAAGCAAGCCAAUGAGACUUCAAAGGGGAAUGCCACAAGGAACCGAUGUUUGAUGUGUGUGUUCUUUUAUUGGGAUCUUUAUUCCUUGCCCUCAUAACAGUGAAAGUAAUAUUCCGUCGGCAAAAGUGCAGCAGAUGUAAUGCGUCGUGGAUAAUGGAUGGAAGUAAUUUAAUGCGAAUGGUCUUUAAUUUCAUUGAUCUCUUAUUGUAGAAGAAUUUCAGUUUAACAAUUCGAGUUAAUGCGUUUGCGUGUUGGGAUUGUUAUUUUCUUCAAGCCAAACCUUGCCGACUCCAGAUGGAAAAGAGAGGGUCUUUCUUUCAACUGUUUUGGAACAAAAAACAAUGAGACAUUGUAGAGGUUCUAAGCCUUAUGGAGGGUUUUAAAGUUUGCUCUGAAAUUAUGGUUUGAAGUGAAUUUGCAUUAAAAGGACGCUGUCAACUUUAGAAAGCAGCUUGGAGCGUGAAAAGGUUUUGAUCUGUCGCUGCUUUAAAGUGAUGUUGGUUGUGGAUCACACACACUCUUUGCUUAUUGCUUCUUGUAGCAUCGGGUGAGCUUGUUCCAAGAGGUUUUGUGAAUCAGCCAUGAAAGAGUGUCAGGCACAGACUGUAAAUGUCGUAUAAUUCAAGGUCGGCUCAAGCAAAUGGAUGCAUUAGGCUGAGAGCUCCGGCAUCAAGAUCCAGUUCAUACGAUGGCCGUAUGAGGCACCACAUGUACCAAAGCUUCCAUCCACCUGUUAAAUUGGUCUCUGGUGACAGCUGCUGCAAGCACCUAUAACUGGAGAGACUUUUCCCUUGCCCUUUGCUCUCAGUGAGAUGGAGACGACUGCUCCUCAUACACCCUCCUGACAGUCAGAGAAGGGAGGUAUUUGAACUCAUGAUUCCAGUCCGUAUUACGUCUUGUUAACUCUACAUUUCUAUGGUUCUAUGAUAUUUGACAGGUAGCAGUUUGAAGUAAAUUGAAGACAGCACUUCCUGUUUCUGGAAAGGUGGGAUCUGGUCCCCCAAAUCUUAAAGGUAAAGGUAAAGGGGCCCCUGACCAUUAGGUCCAGUCAUGGCCGACUCUGGGGUUGCGGCGCUCAUCUCGCUUUAUUGGCUGAGGGAGCCAGCAUACAGCUUCCGGGUCAUGUGGCAGCGCACGGAAACACCGUUUACCUUCCCGCCGAAGAGGUACCUAUUUAUCUACUUGCACUUUGACAUGCUUUCGAACUGCUAGGUUGGCAGGAGCAGGGACCGAGCAACAGGAGCUCACAGAUUUGAACCGCCGAUCGGAAGGUUGGCAAGCCCAAGGCUCAGUGGUUUAGACCACAGCGCCACCCACGUCCCAUCAGGAACAUACCAGACAGUAAAUCCUAUUGAACUCAGUGGGACUUUCUGAGAAAAAAAUAAUUUGGUUUGCAGUGCAAGGCUGCACAGUCUUUACCCAGUUACCUGGAAGUAAACUCCAUUGAAUACAGUGGGACUUACUUCUGAGUAGACACGUAAAGGCUUGCCGUGUAAGGCUCAAUUUACAAUAAAGUGAUAAACACUCCACAUAUUUCCUAAAAAAUGGCUGUUUGCUGAAGCAUUGCGAUUAAAGAAUUUAAAGCAGGUUGGUGACCUUUUCCUUCAAAAUUAUAGAAAGGGUUUCGUAUGCCAGCUUCACCAUUUCUUUCACUUGGUGCCGGUAUUUUAUUUUCAGUAUAAACAAGACUCUUUUUUUUUGGCAACUACACCCCCCACCCACCCCCACUUUUAAUUGUUCUCCAAGAUGGGGGGGGGCGGGAGAGGAAAAAGGGAAACCGGGACUUUCUGGGAUCAAAUCAUAAACUAAUUCUGUAAUUCUAGGGCUGUUCCUGGAAAAUAUGGACACUUGGAAGGUAGGCAUCGAUAGCCUUACCUUCCUCCAUGAAUCUGCUUUUAAAGCCAUGCAACUUGGUGACAGUCCUGUGGGAGUGAGUUCCAUAGUCCAACAAUGCAUCGUGUGAAGAAGUAAUUUCGUUUGUCUGUCCCGGACCGCCCAACAUUCAGCUCCAGUGCAUGUGAGUGAGUUCUAGUGCUAUGUUUUCGUGCCCGAAAUCUCUCUCUCGCCCCGUAUCUCCCCAGUAGCAUUUGCUGUGGGCCAGGGAUGGGGCACCAGUGUCCCACCAGCCGUUACCGGACUCUGACUGGCAUCAGCCUCAGCCAGCAAAGCUGGGGGGUUCCUUUUCCCUGCCAUUGGCCCACAGGGACAGAGCAAUGGGAGCUCACCCCGUCGUGGGGAUUCGAACCGCUGACCUUCUGAUUGCCAAGUCCUAGGCUCUGUGGUUUAACCCACAGCGCCACCUGCGUCCCCCUGGAAGUCUUAGGACACAAUAAAAUUGUGAGUAUUUGGGAUACUGCAGGACUCCUUAUUGAUUUUGCUGCAGCUGACUAUCGCUGCUACCUCUCUGGAGUUUGCAUUGCAAGUGAUUCAUUUUGUCUGCCAAACAAAUCCUGUAGUCAUAGUAAGGUAAGGUAAAGGACCCCUGGAUGGUUAAGUCCAGUCAAAGGCAACGAUGGGGUGCUGUGCUCAUCUCCCUUGCCACAGAUGUUAUUAGGCACAUAUUAUAACUGGAACAUUUGUGCCAUUUUUUAAAUGCUGAAAAUGACCCACGCAGAUAAGCCCUUCUUUGGGAUUUUGGAGUUCUGGAGUGAACGUAGAAGCAUUUGUAGGCUUGCAAUCAAGAGACUCAGCAUAAUAUUGCAGGGCUAUUAAACUUCCUAACUGGAGGUGGGGGGAAUUUAGCUCACUGCAGCUAUUGUACUGGCAUCCUGGCGACUUUCUCGUUUUACGAUCUCUCUGUAUCUCCCCCACUCCUCACCUCAACCGCUGUGCCGAUAAUGGCACCCUUGUUUGAAACUGCCCUGGGAGUUCCUGGUUUAAUUGAUCCAACCCGAAAAGUCGUUGGGCUGGCUGCGAAUUUUUGCUUGUAGCUAAAACGGUUCUGCAGAAAGAAGGUGCAUUGAGAAAGAAGCCAGCCAAGACCUUCUCUCUUACGGUCUGGAAUCUCACGUGAAAUAUAACAUAGCCUCAAGGCGGAAGCUUGGAAACCCUAGGAUUUUUCGAAACACGCAGCCAUCACAACUGAGCUUUUGUAUACUUUUGUGCGAACAAAAGCCACAUUGAAUCCUGGCUGAAGGUGGUGCCUUCCUUAAAGCGCUCAAGACUCAACAGAAAGCAGAUCUUGCGCUUUGGGGCAAAACCUUUGGGGCUGCACACACAGGUGGUGGGGAAGGAGGAAGCCACCCCAAAAAGCACUCAAGGGGGUGAUAGAAAGAGAAGGAGCAAAAGGCACGCACACCGCCAGGAAACGCAGCUUUUCUGCCUUGGAAAGCGCAUUGGUGCAAUACUUUAUCCCUCCCCUCCGUUUAAAUAAUAAAAAUAAAAUAAGCAUUGGCAGACUCAGGCUGUUUUCUGGCACAUUCCGCCCGACAUCUGAUCGUUAAAGCGAGCACAGCGUUUACCAGAGGCAACGCACCAAGAUACACUGCAGAUGUGUCUCCCGGAACCACAUGUUCCCCUCUUAAGGAAUUGGCUUUCCUAGGCAAACACAUGCAACCAAUCACCGAAUAAAACAAGGCUGUUUAUCCUUUUCAUGCAGUAUUAUUACAGUAAUCUCAAAUCGGGCAUGUCGGGCUGCAGCCAGAAAUGGCACCAGAGAUGUAUUACUAUUCUGAGAGGAAGGAUAGGGGGUGUCAGGACACAGAGGGCUGUGGGUUGCCUCACCAGAAUGGUACAUGCUCUGGUUAUCUACUGCAACGCACUCUGUGUGGGGCUACCUUUGAAGGUGACUCGGAAACUACAACUAAUCCAGAAUGCGGCAACUAGACUGCUGAUUGGGAGUGGCCGCUAGGACCAUAUUAACACCGGUCCUGAAAUACCUGCGUUGGCUUCUGGUACAUAUCCAAGCACAAUUCAAAGUGUUGGUGCUGACCUUUGAAGCCCUAAACGGCUCAGUCCAGGAUACCUGAAGGAGUAUCUCCACCCCCAUUGUUCAGCCCAGACACUGAGGUCCAGCUCCGAGGGCCUUCUGGCAGUUCCCUCCCUGCGAGAAGUGAGGUUACUGGGAACCAGACAGAGGGCCUUCUCGGUAGUGGUGCCCACCCUGUGGAACGCCCUCCCACCAGAUGUCAAACAGAUAAACAGCUAUGUGAUUUGUAAAAGACAACUGAAGGCAGCCCUGCUCAGGGAAGUUUUUAGUGUUUGAUGUUGCAUUGUGUUUUUAGUAUUUUUUGUUGGGAGAGGCCCAGAGUGGCUGGGGCAACCCAGUCAGGUGGGCAGCAUUUUAUUAUUAUUAUUAUUAUUAUUAUUAUUAUUAUUAUUAUUAUUACUACUACCGUAUUUUUCGCUCUAUUGGACGCAGUUUUUCCCCUCCAAAAAUUGAGGGGAAAUGUGUGUGCGUCCUAUGGAGCGAAUGCAGGCUUGUGCCAUAGCCGCGUGCAACCCCUCCGGCAGGGAGAGGCUGCACGGGUCUAUGGAUUCUUUAGCCCUGUGCAGCGUCUCCCGGCAAGGAGAGGCUGCACGGGGCUAAAGGGGAAGCCAAAACAGCGAGCAGGAUCCAUCCCGCUCGCUGCCUUGCCUUCUUCGAUAGCUGCGCACAACCCCUCUGGCAGGGAGAGGUUGUGUGCAGCCUGUACACUGCUCUUUGGGGCUGGGGGGGGAAAUAUUUUUUUUUCUUGAUUUCCCUCCCUAAAAACUGGGUGCGCCCUAUGGUCCGGUGCGCCCUAUGGUGCGAAAAAUACAGUAUUAAGAGAGGAACUGCAGGAGGAUUAUAAAGCAGGACGGAGCCUCAUGCCUCUGUGUAUGUGUCUCUUUCUCCAAGACGGAGGAAAUUUGGCAACAGUUUUGCAGUGCAAAUUCCUCAUUUUGCCAAAGUCUGGCUCCGGUUUGGAGUGAAUCGGAUGACACUGAGAUUGGGGUAAUUAACCACCAACCCCGUUUUGAUGGAUCAAUUACUCUGUGGGUCGCUGCAAAACUUUGGCACCAAUAUCGAGGGGAUCCCAGAUUUUGGGGUUCAUAUGGUGACAAAGAGGGAGGCAGGACCUUGUUAAUGCUGUCGGACACUCAGCCAAGGACCUCUCAAGUCAGGCUGGAGCUGAUCACCUGACAGGACACGGAACACACCCUCCAAGUGUCCUGAUCUUCCAGGGACAGUCCUGGAAUUAUGAAAAGCUUUUGAUUUCCAUGGAUAGCUGUUUGUCUCAUUUUGCCAUGGUAAUGAGGGUCCUUCAACAGCUGUUGUGUGCUUUACUGUAUUUCCCCUCCCCCUAAAAAAAACACCCUAAUUUUCUUGUGAAGUGUUGUUUUCUUGUUGCCAUGGUGUGAGCAGCAGCAAUGAUGUUUUGGAUGAAAGAAAGCAUGAAGCGUUGCCCCUAACCCCUGUGUCCUUUCCUGGGAUUUUUGCCUGGGCUGUGACGCUUCCCAGCUGCUCCAGGGUCUGCGGAACCUGCCAAUUCUAAAAUGUGUGUGAGGAGUGGACCCCAAAGUCAGCUCCAAAGAGACUGACCACGUCUUCCCCCAAAGAAUCCUGGGAACUGUGGCUGGCUAAGGGUACAGGGAAUUGCAACUCUGUGAGAGGUGAACUAUUAUGAUGAUGAUUAUUAAUCUCCCUACUUUUUAUUUUCCCAUUGUUCCUGUAUGUGGUUGCAUUGGAGUGUCACUGUACCAAGCAGUACUUCAGCUGCAGUGCAGGAAAGACAGGGAUGUGGGGGGGCACUGGAAGACAGCAGAAGUUAAGGACUUGCUUGAGAUUUGGGGGCGAGGGAGCUAAUGUGUAAGUCCCUUUGCGUUCUAGCAAUACUGUAUUCCAAACUUAAAAAUGGAAAGCGUACUGCUGGUGGUCAACAAAAGAGGUUCAAAGACUCAUUCAAGGCAAAUCUAAAAAAAUGUAUAAGCUCUGACGAUUGGGAAUCACUGGCCUGCAAGUGCUCCAAUUGGAGAACAGCCUUUACCAGAUGGCCCCUCAAAAUUCUAAUUGGUCCAGGACAACAUCCCUGUAUUUUUCUGUUCCAAGUGAGGAGAUGAGCUCAGACUUGACUAUCAGAGUCUCUAAAGAGGCCACCAUCUCAUAAUUCUCCUCCAUGACUUCCUUGUGCAGAGCUCUUUGGCCUGGAUCCAGCAGAGAGCACUCCUCCUCUGUGAAAAACUCAGACACCUCCUCAAAGGUCAAGAGGGCCUGCUUCCGUUGCUCUUUCGCUACCUGAGGAAGCUGCCGGGCUCCUCUUUCCACUCCACCUUUAAGUUAAGAAGAGUGUCCUGCUUUUCCUUAGGAUGUCCCUAUUUUCACUGGAGAAAUGUUGGAGGGUAUGGAGUUAUGCAAUCCCCAAGCCAACCUGAAGGCAUCUGAAGGCAGCCCUGUAUAGGAAAGUUUGUUGAAUGUUUAAAGUUUUAUUAUGUUUUUAUGUAUGUUGGAAACCACCCAGAGUGGUUGAGGCAACCCAGUCACAUGGGUGGGGUAUAAACAAUAAAAUUAUUGUUACUAUUAUGGAAUAGCACAUCCCUAUUUUCAUCAGAGAAAUGUUGGAGGGUAUGCAACAGAUUCCAACAAUAUACCACCCUUUAUCCAAAGGUCCAGGGCAGUGUAUAUAUUUAUAAAUUGUGGCUCGUAUCAUGCUCUCUUAUUUCUCUCACUGCUUUGUACCCUACUUAUAUGUCGUGUUUCCAUGUAUAUUGGCACUUUUGUAUACCAGAAUGAUUUCCCCCCUCUCUUAGAUUUGGUUGCUGAUUUAAUUGUUCUGCUUUUACACUGUAAAUUCUGGAAACUUAAUUGGAGUCUCUCCUUGUGAGUGUGGAUUUUAUUCUCACUGGUUUUAUUUUAUUUUCCCAUUCUUUCUUUGGCUUUUUUCAUAAUGAAAAAAAAAUCAAUGAAGAUUAGCUUCUUCUUCUUCUUCUUUUUUAAAAAGCAUUUGCUACUCUGUUGAGCCAGGUAGUAGGGGAGAACAAAAUACACUCGGCGCAUGCAGGGAUUUUAAUGCGUGCACCUUGCGUUAAUGCUCUCCCUGCUUGUGUACUGCUGCUUUUAAAAUGCCUUGUUACGGCCCAGGCCUUGCCAUGCAAGAUAACAUUUCAUGGAAAUGGCAGCCCACAUCGAAACGGGCCGCGCAUUCAGUGCGUGCCCAGGGAACGGUGCCGCAAUUGUGUGGCUAGUAAGAACACACGGUGCCCUUGUGAAAAUAAGUGCUCUCGGAGUUUAGGCAUCAGGAUGGCCCUGCCUGUGAUUUAUUGGACAAUGGCUGGAGAAUUACAGUUCCCGCUGAUCAGCCAAGGCAGCUAUGUUAAAAACAAACAAACAAAGACCCAACCACCAGCUCCAUAAAAGAGCUUUUAUACUCUCGGUAAAAGCCGCCACACCGGCUGCCAAUUCUGCACAAUUCCCAACAGGAGAGAGGCACCAAUUGGGUUUAAGGCGAUCUCCUAACGAUGACCAGCC